rnacentral:rRNA from 1 species
UACGUAGGGUGCAAGCGUUAAUCGGAAUUACUGGGCGUAAAGCGUGCGCAGGCGGUUAUUUAAGACAGAUGUGAAAUCCCUGGGCUCAACCUUGGAACUGCCUCUGUGACUGUAUAGCUAGAGUACGGUAGAGGGGGAUGGAAUUCCGCGUGUAGCAGUGAAAUGCGCAGAUAUGCGGAGGAACACCGAUGGCGAAGGCAAUCCCCUGGACCUGUACUGACGCUCAUGCACGAAAGCGUGGGGAGCAAACAGG